rnacentral:lncRNA from 1 species
CAAGGUAUAGUUUCCGAUGUACCCCUACCAUUCCCCAUAAAUUAACGCAGAAACCGUCGAGAACCCGGAACGGGAUCGAUCAUGGAGCGCUCUUCUUCUUCCUCUUCUUCCUCCUCCUCCCACGCACGCAGUGUUGCUCUCAUGGUGGCUCUCCUCGUGUAUUGUUCCUUGGCGUUCUCCGCGGCGGCGGUCCAAGGUAACUUAAACCUACAUGCAUGAAUGUAGCUACACAUAUAUACACGACCCGGCUAAUUCAUACAUGCAUUCAUCGUAUAUUUUCACUGUAGUUGCUUCGGACGGACACCAUAAGCCAAGGUUCUCACCCCCGCCGCCGAUGAGUAUGGUGCCGAUUGGGCCAAGUUCUGACGCCCCCGGAGACGCCAAACACAAGACCCUGCAGCAAGCUAGUAUUGCAAACGCCCCUUGGGCAUGAAAUACCACUGGCGACCGUGUGCUCUUAUUCUUAAUUACGUGCCGAACACUGGUUGAUAAAAUCACACUGUACGCACUGAUAAGUCUAGACACAUAUAUAAUCAUUGAGAGGAUCCUGUAUCAUAUUUAUUCAAGGAGUUAUGAAUAAAUCUAUUAUUAUAUCAUGUACGUAAAUAAUAAUUUGUGGAUAUUCAACAACAAGGCGGUGUGUGAUCGACCUUUCCAAGGAGGCCCUAAUCAGACAGUUUUUUUUGGGUUCGAAAUGAUCAUUGAUCAGAGUCAAUUGCACAAAACCACCACAAUUGAUCAGAGUUAUAUUGUUA